AAUGAACGCUGGCGGCAUGCCUAACACAUGCAAGUCGAACGAAGGCUUCGGCCUUAGUGGCGCACGGGUGCGUAACGCGUGGGAAUCUGCCCUUGGGUCUGGAAUAACUUCUGGAAACGGAAGCUAAUACCGGAUGAUGACGUAAGUCCAAAGAUUUAUCGCCCAGGGAUGAGCCCGCGUAGGAUUAGGUAGUUGGUGGGGUAAAGGCUCACCAAGCCGACGAUCCUUAGCUGGUCUGAGAGGAUGAUCAGCCACACUGGGACUGAGACACGGCCCAGACUCCUACGGGAGGCAGCAGUGGGGAAUAUUGGACAAUGGGCGAAAGCCUGAUCCAGCAAUGCCGCGUGAGUGAUGAAGGCCUUAGGGUUGUAAAGCUCUUUUACCCGGGAUGAUAAUGACAGUACCGGGAGAAUAAGCCCCGGCUAACUCCGUGCCAGCAGCCGCCGUAAAAC
rnacentral:rRNA from 1 species